rnacentral:rRNA from 1 species
CCUACGGGAGGCAGCAGUAGGGAAUAUUGGACAAUGGGCGAAACCCUGAAGCAGCAACGCCGCGUGCGCGAAGACGGUUUUCGGAUUGUAAACCUCUGUCCUCUGUGAAGAUGAUGACGGUAACAGAGGAGUAAGCUCCGGCUAACUACGUGCCAGCAGCCGCGGUAAUACGUAGGGAGCGAGCGUUGUCCGGAUUUACUGGGGGGAAAGGUUGCGUAGGCCGCUUGGCAAGUCAGUAGUGAAAUCCAUGGGCUUAACCCAUGAACUGCUAUUGAAACUGUCGAGCUUGAGUGAAGUAGAGGUAGGCGGAAUUCCCGGUGUAGCGGUGAAAUGCGUAGAGAUCGGGAGGAACACCAGUGGCGAAGGCGGCCUACUGGGCUUUAACUGACGCUGAGGCACGAAAGCGUGGGGAGCAAACAGGAUUAGAUACCCGGGUAGUC